rnacentral:misc_RNA from 1 species
UCGUGACCCUGACCAAAACAGACCGUGCACGCGUCAUCCAAUCCGUCGGCGAUGGCAUUGUCCGUCGCUCGGCCAAUAUGCCUCGACCACCUCCCCUCCUUGGAGUGGGUGGGGGCUCGGGGUAAAAGAACCCACGGCGCCGAAGGCGUCAAGGAACACUGUGCCUAACCCGGGGGCAUGGCUAGCUUGCUAGCCAUCCCUUGUGUUGCAAAGCUAUUUAAUC